rnacentral:SRP_RNA from 1 species
GCCGGGUGUGGUGGCGGGCACCUGUAAUCCCAGCUACUCAGGAGGCUGAGGCAAAAGGAUCGCUUGAGCCCAGGAGACAGAGGUUGCAGUGAGCCGAGAUUGUGCCAUUGCACUCCAGCCUGGGCCACAGAGCAAGACUCUGUCUCAA